rnacentral:rRNA from 1 species
AAUAUUGCACAAUGGGCGGAAGCCUGAUGCAGCAACGCCGCGUGAGGGAUGACGGCCUUCGGGUUGUAAACCUCUUUUAGCAGGGAAGAAGCGAAAGUGACGGUACCUGCCGAAAAAGCACCGGCGAACGACGUGCCAGCCGCCGCGGUAAUACGUAGGGUGCAAGCGUUGUCCGGAAUUAUUGGGUGUAAAGGGCUCGGAGGCGGCUUGUCGCGUCUGCUGUGAAAUCCCGGAGCUCAACUCCGGGCCUGCAGUGGGUACGGGCAGGCUAGAGUGCGGUAGGGGAGAUUGGAGUUCCUGGUGUAGCGGUGGAAUGCGCAGAUAUCAGGAGGAACACCGAUGGCGAAGGCAGAUCUCUGGGCCGCUACUGACGCUGAGGAGCGAAAGCAUGGGGAGCGAAC